GAGUUUGAUCCUGGCUCAGAGCGAACGCUGGCGGCGUGCCUAACACAUGCAAGUCGAGUGCGCAGUUUCCUGUAGCAAUACAGGGAACCGGCGCACGGCGCACGGGUGCGUAACACGUGGGUAACCUGCCCUCCAAAGGGGGAUAACCCCGCGAAAGCGGGGCUAAUACCGCAUGACAUUCCAGAAACCUCGGUUUCAGGAAUCAAAGCCCGAAAGGGCGUUGGGGGGGGGGCCCGCGGCCGAUUAGCUUGUUGGCGAGGUAAUGGCUCACCAAGGCUCUGAUCGGUAGCCGGUCUGAGAGGAUGGCCGGCCACACUGAAACUGAGACACGGUCCAGACUCCUACGGGAGGCAGCAGUUGGGAAUCGUUCGCAAUGGCCGAAAGGCUGACGACGCGACGCCGCGUGCGGGAUGAAGCUCUUCGGAGUGUAAACCGCUUUUCUGCAGGAAAAAGAUCUGAUGGUACUGCAGGAAUAAGAGGUUGCUAACUCUGUGCCAGCAGCAGCGGUAAUACAGAGACCUCGAGCGUUUUCCGGAAUCAUUGGGCGUAAAGCGUCCGCAAACGGCUACGUACGUCGAGCUUGAAAUCCCACGGCUCAACCGUGGAUACGGGUUCGAUACGACGUGGCUAGAGGUUUGGAGAGGCUGAUGGAACUCCCGGUGUAGCAGUGAAAUGCGUUAAGAUCGGGAAGAACACCAAUUGCGAAGGCAGUCAGCUAGCCAAUACCUGACGUCCGGGGACGAAAGCGUGGGGAGCGAACGGGAUUAGAUACCCCGGUAGUCCACGCCGUAAACGAUGGGUACUAGGCUUGGGACGUUCGACACGUUCCGAGUCGUAAGCUAACGCGUUAAGUACCUCGCCUGGGAAGUACGGCCGCAAGGCUAAAACUCAAAGGAAUUGACGGGGACCCGCACAAGCGGUGGAGCAUGUGGUUUAAUUCGAUGCAGAGCGAAGAACCUUACCUAGGCUUGACAUCUAGCUGCAGGCUCCUGGAAACAGGAGCGGCCUUCGAGGGUGCUAGACAGGUGUUGCAUGGUUGUCGUCAGCUCGUGGCGUGAGCUGUUAGGUUAAGUCCUGCAACGAGCGCAACCCCUGCCCUGUGCUGAAAUCUCACAGGGGACUGCCGGCGUACAGUCGGAGGAAGGUGGGGAUGACGUCAAAUCCGCAUGGCCCUUUGAUGCCUAGGGCUACACGCAUGCUACAAUGGCCGGUACAGAGCGACCUGCAAAGCCGUAAGGCGGAGCGAAUCGCACCAAAGCCGGCCCCAGUUCGGAUUGAGGGCUGCAACUCGCCCUCAUGAAGUCGGAAUCGCUAGUAACCGUGGGUCAGCCAUACCACGGUGAUACGUUCUCGGGUCUUGUACACAC
rnacentral:rRNA from 1 species